GCAUCCAUCGUAUAGCGGCUAUUAUAGUUGGUUUCCACCCAACGGAGGAGAGUUCGAUUCUCUCUGGAUGCUCCA
rnacentral:tRNA from 1 species